rnacentral:lncRNA from 1 species
CUGGAGGGCAAUUCCCAUCCUCUAUUUCAAUACUUCCGAAGCCCUGACAAAAAAAAUUUCCCUACCUGCGGUCACGGUUAUCCUCCUUCUGACGAAUCAUCAGAAGGUCAAUAGUUGCCUGACUCUACCUACGUCCCAGCGCCUGCGUCGUACCACCUCCGGCUAGUUCACCGCAGGCUUUUAUCGUCUUGCCUUGUCAGAAGGUGGGUGAGUAAAGUACAAUAUUUUGAAAGAAAGAUAUAAUAAUCAUGUCACUUUUAGUACUG